UGAGCCGCUGUUGCCCGCAGGUAUGGAGAGGCACAUCGAGGAGGACGAGGUGCGGUCGUCCGCGGACCUCCGCAUCCGGAAGUCGCAGCACUCGGUCCUGUCCCGGAAGUUCGUGGAGGUGAUGACCCGGUACAACGAGGCCCAGGUGGACUUCCGCGAGCGCAGCAAGGGGAGGAUCCAGCGGCAGCUCGAGAUCACCGGCAAGAAGACCACGGACGAGGAGCUGGAGGAGAUGCUGGAGAGCGGGAACCCCGCCAUCUUCACCUCCGGGAUCAUCGACUCCCAGAUCUCCAAGCAAGCGCUGAGCGAGAUCGAGGGGCGGCACAAGGACAUCGUGCGGCUGGAGAGCAGCAUCAAGGAGCUGCACGACAUGUUCGUGGACAUCGCCAUGCUGGUGGAAAACCAGGGGGAGAUGCUGGACAACAUAGAGCUGAACGUGCUGCACACGGCGGAGCACGUGGAGAAGGCGCGCGAGGAGACCAAGCGGGCGGUCAAGUACCGCGGCCAGGCCCGCAAGAAAUUGAUAAUUAUCAUUGUGGUAGUAGUGGUGUUGCUGGGCAUUUUAGCGUUGAUUAUUGGACUUUCCGUUGGGCUGAAGUAAUGGUGGCCCGAGCGGCUGCUGCACUGAAAUCUCCCGUUGGCUCCUCUCCUGGGGACUCGGCCCCGGCUCUUUGUCUUACGCCGCGCUGCUGCCCGGCCGGGCACAUCCGAGCGCCGCGUCUUCACUCCCUCUGCUGGGCACUCAGGUUCCUCGUGGGUACAGUCUAGACCUGGACUGGGGUCUGUCUUCUGGAUUCUUGCUGACUCUCGCAGAUUUCGGGCCUCGCUUUCCAUAUCCUUUCCAGUAUAGACAAAGCUUUGGAGCGGGGCUUGGGGGGCAGUAGGGUCUUGCUUGUGGCUGACGGGUUGGGGCCUGAAUGCUAGAGCAGCCAACACUGGAGUGUGCGUCGUGCCACGGCCUGCCCUGAACGCUCAUACACACGUCCUUGAGUCGCAGGACAGUGCCCUGAAGGAGGACGUACUGCUGUGACCCAUAUCUUAUGGACAAGUCACAGGGCCAGGUGUGAACACACAGCAAUGGUAGGCCUAGGAGAGUUCUCCGCAUCGUAGCCUCUCUCUGUAAAACCACGUAGCCGUUUAUCGUCUGCGCAGUCCCGAGGACCUUGAAGGAGAGGGAGUCUAAAAUUUAGGCUAUUAAUUUCUUUAAAAUCUGGUGAAAAGAAUAGAGCUGAGCUGAGUCGGGGCUUCAUGUGCAGAGGAGCAGCAGGACAGGAUGAUCUAACUACUGGCACGGUCCGCACCUCCGUGACGUCUCAGGCCUGCUAACGUUGCCCUCCGCCGCCAUCCUGCGCACUGAUGAGCUCCUCCCUCCCCCGCCUCCCUUAGAGCCUGAUGCACUCCAGCCUGCUGUGGCCACCCUCGUCUUCAGAUGGGAACGGAGUCCGAGGGGCCUUCCUGAGUGGGACCUGUUCCUUUGCUUCCUUGUAACCGUCCUUGGACCUGACCCAGCAAACACUCUGGCCCCGGAGGAAGCUAACCUCCCUGAUGCAACCCCGAGUUCUCCUCACACCUCCUCCUGCCCCGCCAGCUCUCGAGCACCUUCUCUCCCGGACAGUGCGAACCGCCCGGCUCCCCGUCUUCCCUCUGAACGUGUCACGUUACCCCUUGCACCGGGAGAGCUCGCUCACAACCUUCCCGAGGGGCUGUUUUCUACCUCACGGACUGUUCUCUCAGACACUGCAAUGAAUCUCUUCAGGGGUGUGCAAAACAACACAAAGGGGUUCUCCCGAGCGGGGCAACAGUAAGGCUGGACGCGAGCCUUCUACUUGGCAGGUCUCGGCCCCCAGCUUGUUGUCCCUGGGUCUUGCAAAUAUGAGGGACUGCAGAUGUCACGUUGGUCUUAGAAGCUGACUUUUGGGAAAUUCGGUCUUAAAUUACCCUUUGAAGAUGUGUGGCUUGGCGGCCAACUUCAGCCUUUACGCUGUGGUCGCUCAUGUCUACUCAGGGAGGCUCCAGGGGACGUGGCGGCCUGGGGUUUCCAUCUGUAAAAGCUGAGGGUAGGGGCCUUGUUUCCCUCGGACUCUUGGAAACUGGCUCUUCUCAUCAGAGUGAUGCUUUGUGAAGCCACUGCCUUGAGGCCGGAAGAACCCAGGCGCUUAAAAUUGGGCCAGGGACGAGGUGCUGGAGCCUCAGGCUCUGGAAACGCUCAGAUUGGUGCGAGUGUUCAGUCACUCAUUUCGUAUAUUCCAGAUGUAUUGUUAUAAUCAGGUGUGUCAGAUGUAUGUUCAUGUUUGCCCGUGUCUCUCAGGAAGUAGGAACUAGAAAUGAAGACUGUUAGAACCUCAAAAAAAAAAAAAAAAAAAAAAAAAAAAACACCUUGAGCAGGGCUAAAAACUAGUUAGGAGACAUUUGCUUACCUGCAAAUGGAUCCUAGUAGAAAUGGAUCUUCCCGUGUCAUCGAGAAGCCUCGUUUUCUAGAUGGGGACUGGAACAGUCCUAGAUCUUUGGGGGGAGGACUACGUUGAUCCCGUUAAGUUUUUCUGCGUAGCAGACAGGUGCGAUAGGCUUGGCACCUCUCCCCGCUGCUGCGUAGGUGAGGCUUGUCCUGAGAACAUCCACAGCGACUUGAGGUUGAUCCUGUGCCUUCAGGAUGGUCCUGUCUCCCGGGCGGAGUCAGUUGGGGAGACAGGCGACUACCGAGUAGCUCAUCCUGUUACCCGGUUAAUGAGCCUCACAGGUUUGGUCUCCCCCGUUCUUGUCACGGAGGAAGCAACAGCCAGGAAACGAGUUCAGGUGAGUGGCUCUGCUGACCCAGGGCGAGCCCCUCAGACUCCCUGCCCGACUCCCUGGGAUGGGGUGAGCACCUAAUCCUACCGCGUGGCUUCCUUUGCAAAGGCCACACACUCCACCGUUGCUCAGCACUCAGACAGAGCCAAGGGGAUGUCCUCUUGCCCAUGGCUAUGAAGUCAGACAGUGGACUGGCUCCAGCAACAAGGGCAGCCAAGCUCUAGUCACAGGCCUUUGUGGAGGCCUGGGGCUUAGUCUGGAAUACAAGUGAAGGCUUUUUGGUCAUUUGUAUUUUUUUAAAUGUAAACUUGAUUAUUUUAUUGAUAAUUUAAAAAAUAAAUGACUUUAUAUUGAUCGCAAAACA